AUGCCCCAGUUUAACUGUCUUGCUGAUUCUCAUGAUACAGCUGAAUGAGCUCCUCUUUGUGCUCAAGAAGGCGGGUAAUCUCGUCAGGAAUCCCCUUCAACAUCAUCUUCUUCUGCCUCAAAUACAAGGAAUUCAAGAUUGGGAGAUGGCGUUGGAUCAUUAUGUUCAAUGGGUUUAGAAAUCCCUGCAUAAUGAUUCUGGAUAAUGAAAAGCUUUUGAUAUUU
rnacentral:lncRNA from 1 species